rnacentral:rRNA from 1 species
UGGGGAAUAUUGCACAAUGGGGGGAAACCCUGAUGCAGCAACGCCGCGUGAGUGAAGAAGGGUUUCGGCUCGUAAAGCUCUGUUGGUAGUGAAGAAAGAUAGAGGUAGUAACUGGCCUUUAUUUGACGGUAAUUACUUAGAAAGUCACGGCUAACUACGGUGCCAGCAGCCGCGGUAAUACGUAGGUGGCAAGCGUUGUCCGGAUUUAUUGGGCGUAAAGCGAGUGCAGGCGGUUCAAUAAGUCUGAUGUGAAAGCCUUCGGCUCAACCGGAGAAUUGCAUCAGAAACUGUUGAACUUGAGUGCAGAAGAGGAGAGUGGAACUCCAUGUGUAGCGGUGGAAUGCGUAGAUAUAUGGAAGAACACCAGUGGCGAAGGCGGCUCUCUGGUCUGCAACUGACGCUGAGGCU